UACGUAGGGUCCAAGCGUUAUCCGGAAUCACUGGGCGUAAAGCGCGCGCAGGCGGCAUACCAAGUAUUCAGUGAAAUCUCCCUGCUCAACGGGGAGGGUGCUGAGUAGACUGGUAAGCUAGAGGACGGUAGAGGGGGGUAGAAUUGCUGGUGUAGCGGUGAAAUGCGUAGAGAUCAGCAGGAAUACCCGUGGCGAAGGCGGCCCCCUGGGCCGUUUCUGACGCUGAGGCGCGAAGGCUAGGGGAGCGAACGGG
rnacentral:rRNA from 1 species